UCUGGUUGAUCCUGCCAGUAGUCAUAUGCUUGUCUCAAAGAUUAAGCCAUGCAUGUCUAAGUAUAAAUAGUAUACAGUGAAACUGCGAAUGGCUCAUUAAAACAGUUAUAGUUUAUUUGAUAAUUGACAAUUACAUGGAUAACCGUGGUAAUUCUAGAGCUAAUACAUGCUUAAACGCCCGACUUUAUGGAAGGGUGGUAUUUAUUAGACUGAAGCCAAUAUUCCUUGUGUCUAUUGCGGUGAUUCAUAAUAACUGAUCGAAUCUCUUUUUGAGAUAAAUCAUUCAAGUUUCUGCCCUAUCAGCUUUCGAUGGUAGUGUAUUGGACUACCAUGGCAGUAACGGGUAACGAAGAAUUAGGGUUCGAUUUCGGAGAGGGAGCAUGAGAAACGGCUACCACAUCUAAGGAAGGCGGCAGGCGCGUAAAUUACCCAAUCCUGACUCAGGGAGGUAGUGACAAGAAAUAGCAAACCGGGAACCUCAUGGUUUCACGGUAUUGCAAUGAGAACAAUUUAAAACCCUUAGCGAGAAUCAAGUGGAGGACAAGUCUGGUGCCAGCACCCGCGGUAAUUCCAGCUCCACUAGCGUAUAUUAAAGUUGUUGCAGUUAAAAGGCUCGUAGUUGAACCUCUGUCUGGGGCUAGUUUUGGCUUUGGUCAGGCUAGUUCUAGGCAUCCGCCUACAAGACUUAGAGGGCAUUCAGUUGUUCACUAGGAGGAGUAGGCAUUUUACUUUGAAAAAAUUAGAGUGUUUAAGGCAGGCAAUCGCCCGCAUAUAUUAGCAUGGAAUAAUAGAAUAGGACACUUUUCCAUUUCGUUGGUUAUUGGAAUCGUGUAAUGAUUAAUAGGGACAGUUGUGGGCAUUUGUAUUUAAUUGUCAGAGGUGAAGUUCUUGGAUUUAUUAAAGACAAACUAACGCGAAAGCAUUUGCCAAGGAUGUUUUCAUUAAUCAAGAACGAAAGUUAGGGGAUCAAAGACGAUCAGAUACCGUCCUAGUCUUAACUAUAAACUAUUCCGACUCAAUGUUUGACUGGCUUAUAUAACCAGUUGAGCGUUGUAUGAGAAAUCAAAGUCUUUAGGUUCUGGGGGGAGUAUGGUUGCAAAGCUGAAACUUAAAGGAAUUGACGGAAGAGCACAACCAGGAGUGGAUUCUGCGGCUUAAUUUGACUCAACACGGGGAAACUUACCAGGUUAAAACAAUAGUGGGAUUGACAGUUUGAGAGCGCUUUCUUGAUUGGUUGGGUGGUGGUGCAUGGCCGUUCUUAGUUGGUGGAGUGAUUUGUCUGCUUAAUUGCGUUAACGAACGAGACCUUAACCUGCUUACUAGGCUGGC
rnacentral:rRNA from 1 species